rnacentral:rRNA from 1 species
UACGUAGGCAGCGAGCGUUGUUCGGAGUUACUGGGCGUAAAGAGUGCGUAGGCGGUUUUCUAAGUUUGGUGUGAAAUCUCCCGGCUUAACUGGGAGGGUGCGCCGAAGACUGGAAGGCUUGAGUAUGGGAGAGGUAAGCGGAAUUCCUGGUGUAGCGGUGAAAUGCGUAGAUAUCAGGAGGAACACCUGCGGUGUAGACGGCUUAUUGGACCAUCACUGACGCUGAGGCACGAAAGCGUGGGUAGCAAACAGG